AGCAACUUGACGCAGUGGAAGCGUGCAGGGCUCAUAUGAUGAAACCCUGAAGUCCCUGGAUCGAAACCAGGAGUUGCUA
rnacentral:tRNA from 1 species